AACGAACGCUGGCGGCAGGCUUAACACAUGCAAGUCGAGCGCCCCGCAAGGGGAGCGGCAGACGGGUGAGUAACGCGUGGGAAUCUACCCUUUUCUACGGAAUAACGCAUGGAAACGUGUGCUAAUACCGUAUAAGCCCUUCGGGGAAAGAUUUAUCGGGAAAGGAUGAGCCCGCGUUGGAUUAGCUAGUUGGUGGGGUAAAGGCCUACCAAGGCGACGAUCCAUAGCUGGUCUGAGAGGAUGAUCAGCCACAUUGGGACUGAGACACGGCCCAAACUCCUACGGGAGGCAGCAGUGGGGAAUAUUGGACAAUGGGCGCAAGCCUGAUCCAGCCAUGCCGCGUGAGUGAUGAAGGCCCUAGGGUUGUAAAGCUCUUUCACCGGAGAAGAUAAUGACGGUAUCCGGAGAAGAAGCCCCGGCUAACUUCGUGCCAGCAGCCGCGGUAAU
rnacentral:rRNA from 1 species